rnacentral:rRNA from 1 species
CUUACCUACCCUUGACAUGUAUGGAACCUGGCUGAGAGGUCGGGGUGCCCGAAAGGGAGCCAUAACACAGGUGCUGCAUGGCUGUCGUCAGCUCGUGUCGUGAGAUGUUGGGUUAAGUCCCGCAACGAGCGCAACCCUUGUCCCUAGUUGCUACGCAAGAGCACUCUAGGGAGACUGCCGGUGACAAACCGGAGGAAGGUGGGGAUGACGUCAAGUCCUCAUGGCCCUUAUGGGUAGGGCUUCACACGUCAUACAAUGGUCGGAACUGAGGGUCGCCAACCCGCGAGGGGGAGCCAAUCCCAGAAACCCCCUCUAUCCGGAUCGCACUCUGCAACUCGAGUGCGUGAAGCUGGAAUCGCUAGUAAUCGCGGAUCAG